rnacentral:lncRNA from 1 species
UAUUUAUUCUAUGCAACUGCUGUUCUUUGUGUGUUGGUUUUGUGAACAAGUGUUUAUAAUAACUGUCUGUAGUGUUCACUGCCUGUGUUUACACUCCAGUUGUUAGGGUUAGGUAUCCUGGAGACGAAGUCCAUGGUUUGGAGUGUGGGAGUGGCGGGGAUUAGUGAGGUCCCAGUGGGAUGAUUUCUUGGUCUGUGCAGCUUCUCAGUUUAAAUAUCUCUUACAGUUCUAGGGAAUUUACUGAAAAUCUACUAUGGGCUUCAUCUGCUUAUAUUAGCUUAUAAUGACCCUUAUGAUGGACUAAGCCUGGGGAAAAGCUGGGACUUUAUGGCAACGACUGAUUUAAAAUGAAGAAGAGAUGGACUCUAUUGUUCUCUGUUUUACUGGAAAUCUUCAGCUGUGUAUCAGUAUCCAGAGCUUCAGCUCAGCAGGUGGAGGUGCUGAAUGGAGCUGUGGGAGAAUCUGUUAUAUUCUCUACUAGAGUUCCUGUAACUGGUACUAUAAUAUAUGAAGGCAGGAGCAUUGGACAGGUGUUGAAUAAACAGAGUGAUACAGAACAUGAGGAGAAGUUUAAGAAUCGUCUCUCCUGGAGCAGCGAGUUCUUCACUCUCUCAGAUCUCAGAUCAGAUGAUUCAGGUGUUUAUACUGUACAGAGCACUAGAGAAGAGAAAGCAAAUCAUGUAUACCAGCUGAAUGUGUAUGAUAAAGUAUCAACUCCUCAGGUGAUCACACUGAACCCCUAUUCUCCAGAGAGUGAUCUGUGUUUACUGCAGUGUUCAGUGAGGAACGUGAGAGGACUGAAUCUCUCCUGGUUUAGAGGAAAUAUUCAAUUAAACCAAACCAGCAGCUCCAACAUCUCCAGUCCUGAAACCACACUGAACCUCCCUCUGGAAAUUCAGCAGAUAGAUAAAGACAUCUUCAGCUGUGAGGCUUCAAACCCAGUCAUCAAGCAGAGCAUCACUGUUAACUCAACAGAACUUUGUCUUCAAAAACCUGAUAAAAUAACUGAUGAUAACAGGUCAAACAUCAUCCUUGCUGUUGUGAUCCCUGUGGUACUUUUUCUGGCAGUAAUAGGCAUGAUCAUAUUCAUACGAAGAAAAAAACAUGAAAACAGUCACCGCUCACAAGACUCAUCAGCAAUUGAUGAAGGACUGCAGGAGGAAGUGCAAUAUUCUGAGAUUAAUCACACUGCAAAAAAACGUAAUCAGGGGAACGUACGUGAAUCUGCCGCUCAGGAAACAAGCCUCUUAACGACGAUUUAUGACCGGAUUCGUCCUCAUCAGACAGAGACUUCAGAGUGAUUCAGCCUGAGCAGAAACAGGAAAGUGGUCACUGUGGUGUUUAGAUGAAGAAGAACUAAUUGAAGUUUAUUGAAGUUUUGUAAUCUAUGAAGACGUCCACAUAUUUCACAUUACUUUAAUAUGCUACUGGUCAAAUGUUUUAGAACAUUAAAGAAGAUUGGACAGCACUCGUAUAAUAUUCAAUGUAUUUAUUUAACUCACAGAUAAAACAUGAACGUUUCGGCCCUUAGGCCUUAAUCACCCAUCAUUUUAAAUGUCCAGUAGCGGCACUGUAUGUCCCAGACAAGCUACUUUUUAUAUUUUCUAAUCUUAUCAAUUAUUUUAUCUCUGCACUAUUUCACCUGUCAGACCUUUAAAUCUUCUCUUCACUGUUAAAACUGAGACUUAAUACAAUGUUAAGCUGAGCUAAAGGCUAAAGCUGCUUCCAUGUGGGUCAGCCAGACGUCUUCCUGUUCCAGUUUUCAGUAAAAAGAGGGAAAAGCACUUCCUUCCAAAAGCACUUGUUCCAUUAUAAUUAUAAAUUAGCACUCAAAACUGCAUUGCACCUUACUGCUAUUGCUGUACUGCAAUAUUACUGUACUGCUAAUUAUACUGCUGGCAGUAGGUAUAUCAUGCAGGGUUCAUGUUAGGACUGUUUCUAUGCAAAUUAUGGCAAAUAUGAAGCUAACUUUGUGCAAAUAGUGUAUUAUAAUAUUCACUAAUUUGCUUUGAAGUAGAUUUCAGUCAGAACAUGUCCUAAAACAUUUCACUAUUUUUCUAGUGCUUUUGUGUUUAGCGUGUGUUCAAAAUCUCACCUGAAUGCAAACUACAUCACAACCCCAACAGCACCUGCUCUAUUAUCUGUGCACAGGUGGGAGGGGGAGGGGAGAAUAAUGAUAGCAGCUGGUUCCUCUUUAGAGAGGGGGAGUGGCUGUACUGGGCAGGUGGAUCCAGGUUAACUAUUAUUUUCAGUUAAGUCAGUAAGCCUAUGCUGUAACUCACUGUAAACACCAAUAACUGU